GGAAAAGUUUACAUCUUGGUAAGUUAAAACAAUUGCUAUUUGUUUGAGGCAACUCAUAAGGGUUCGAUUCCCUUCUUUUCCU
rnacentral:tRNA from 1 species